AUUGAACGCUGGCGGCAGGCCUAACACAUGCAAGUCGAGCGGAGCGGCGGACGGGUGAGUAAUGCCUAGGAAUCUGCCUGGUAGUGGGGGAUAACGUCCGGAAACGGGCGCUAAUACCGCAUACUAUCAGAUGAGCCUAGGUCGGAUUAGCUAGUUGGUGGGGUAAAGGCCUACCAAGGCGACGAUCCGUAACUGGUAUGAGAGGAUGAUCAGUCAACCUGGAAUGUACACACGGUACAGACUCCUACGGGGGGCAGCAGUGGGGAAUAUUGGACAAUGGGGGAAAGCCUGAGCCAGCCAUGCCGCGUGUGUGAAGAAGGUCUUCGGAUUGUAAAGCACUUUAAGUUGGGAGGCGUUACCAACAGAAUAAGCACCGGCUAACUUCGUGCCAGCAGCCGCGGUAAUUC
rnacentral:rRNA from 1 species